AGUGAACGCUGGCGGCAUGCCUAACACAUGCAAGUCGAACGGUAACAGGCCCGCAAGGGUGCUGACGAGUGGCGGACGGGUGAGGAAUACAUCGGAAUUUGCCCAGUCGUGGGGGAUAACGUAGGGAAACUUACGCUAAUACCGCAUACGACCUAACGGUGAAAGCGGGGGAUCGCAAGACCUCGCGCGGAUGGAUAAGCCGAUGUCGGAUUAGCUAGUUGGCGGGGUAAAGGCCCACCAAGGCGACGAUCCGUAGCUGGUCUGAGAGGAUGAUCAGCCACACUGGGACUGAGACACGGCCCAGACUCCUACGGGAGGCAGCAGUGGGGAAUAUUGGACAAUGGGGGCAACCCUGAUCCAGCAAUGCCGCGUGUGUGAAGAAGGCCUGG
rnacentral:rRNA from 1 species